UUUUAUUUGAUUCUCAUCAUAAGUCUAUGAGGUGGACAAGGAGAUAUUGUUUGCUCAUUUAGCUGAUGACAAAUUACAUGCAUAUUUAAUCAAGAUAGAAAAAUCUUGAUUCUCCCUUGGCAAAGCUGAACUAAGGAUAGAUUAAAUACAUGCUGCACUGCCCCAAAGACCAGAUAAAACCCUGCAGCUGUCAUUACCCAGACAAGGGAGGCAAAGCCAGGAUGAUUCUGCCCUGGAUUUUGUGAACUGUGUCAAUCCAUUCCCUUUGCUUUGGGAGUGGUAUAUUGCUCUGGGAAUCACUGACAAUAUGGGAGGAGAAAUAAAAACAAGCUUCUUGAUUUCCAGUUCUGAUCUCUGAGCGCUAGAGGACAGUAUUGUUCUCUGCACAGCGCGCGGAGAACCCGUUCUAGGAGAAGUGAUGGGACCCCCGCAGUCAGUAUACCCCACACCUUCCCAGGCUGGGCCUGGGCCAUACGGAUCAGGGAUGGGAUGUGGCUUUGCAUCUCCAGUUCCAGAUGGCAUCUCGUUCCCCAGCCCUGUGCAUUCACAGAGCUUUGGCCUCUGUACUGAGUAGCGUGGGAUGUAUGAGGGGAAAGAGACAGUCUGUUCAUUUACAUGUUCUGCGUUGGGGUUUCAUUACGUCUUUUAGCCCUUGAAACCUCUUCCUAAGUGAUAAGCUAUCAAUGAGUGAUUGUUAUCAUAGGCUCAGAGAUUUUUCAGCCUGAUUUAUUUAAACUCUAGAGAAAGGAAAACAGGAGAUGAUGGCUUUGAUCAUGCUAUUUGCUAUUCUGAAAAUUACAAAGGGAGGGGAGAGAGAGAAAAAAAAUCUCUGCUCCCCUAAUGAACUACUAUAUAAAAACUGCUAUAUAAGAAGAUACGCGGUGCGAUCCCCAGUGUAACGUACUUCACUGAUGUUCAACAUGCUUCCGUGGGCGUGUGUGGGUGGAAAGAUGUUUCUUGUUACUGCCAAACAAUCCAGUGUUUCUAGAGAUAAAAACAGCCUGUAAAAGUUUUCUACUGUGGAGAAUGACAGGCUUUGUGGCCUAUGUGAUAUGUGCUCUCUAUAGUCCAGAUGAAGACAGUAACUACUGAUCUGUGAAACCUCUGCAACACAACGGGGCUGCUCACGGCCACACGCCUGGCCUCACAGGUGACGCCUUCGCCCUCCUCUGGGUUCCCUGUUUCUCCCUCCUCCGAACUGAGCAUCUGUCUUCUUCUGACAAGUACUUUCUGCUACCUUGUGCUUCAAGUCAAUUUCUAGAGACACCAGAUAGAUUUCAAUUCUGUAAAGAUUUACUACGAAUCACACAGUGCUGGACGACGUGCUAACACAUAUUCACAUAUGAUGCUGGCUCCAGAGCUCAGUAAGCUGAGCACCUCCAACAUCCCCCUCACAGCCAUGGCCUGUCCUGCAGGUGCUGGUUUCUGCUGCAGACACAGGCUCUCCAGGCAGCCCUGUGCUCUUUGCAGCUAUUCCUGGAAGCCUUGGGACGUCUCACCGAUGCCCUCCAUGUUCGGUUCUGCACACCUGCCCUUCUACGAGUCUCUUCUCUCAACGCCUCCUUACCCGGUUGCUGUCCAUAUUGCAGAAGAGGGCAGGGCCCAGGGAGCUGAAUCCCGGCAAGUCCACGCUGCUGAGCUCCCAAGACCUUCAGUAAAGUAGGAUUGUCUCUUUCACACCUAGCCCUGCAUCCACCGCCAUCGACCCAGGGUAAGGACCAGCACAUGAAGGCCAAACUCCUUCCCUCGUUUCCCUUUACACCCAUGUCUGCCUGUGAGAAGCCCUGGCUCAUUCUCCUUCAGCCACAGGCCUCAGGAAGUCUCCUCCCUAGCGGUUGUCUCAGGCACUCUGGGUUCCAGCAUGGCCUACGUGAAGCCUUCCUUAAAAGUGACAGCGCAGGACGUCCCCACUCAGGAAGCUCACACUCACGACUGUGCCUCUUCCUACACUCAGUAGAGUAAACUGUUUACAGUAGAUGCUGACCAAGUGUUAGGUGAGAGUGGUGACGAUGAGUGUGGAAAUCUGCCUUAAUUUUAUGAGUUACCAACCUGUCAUUGACUUCAUGUUCAUUCUGGCAAGAGCUAAGAGAGAUACUAUUGAGUAUUUUAACACAGACUUCACUUGCUUGGGUGAACUGUAGACAGAAUCCAUCUUUAAUGACCUAUUUCUGUUACUGAACUGAACUGGUGUCUGCUCUCCUGUGGGGUGAGGCCAAACAUCCACACCGUGGUUUGCAGCAGGGGAAAGCAAGGUGUUUAUUUGCAGGAUGCCAAGGAAAGAGAAUUGGGCAGCUUACAAUUGAGACCUGACCUCUCGGUGGCUUACAGGUUCUCUCUGCAGCUCUAGCACCUGGCAUCCUCAGACAUCUUCUUAAUACUCACGCAAGUUCUACAGAUGAGAAAAUGAGGCUUCAAAAGAUGAAGACCACACGAUGACUGAAUGGAUGGUGCUGAGUUAUAAUAGCAGUAUCUGUCAUGUAUGGGUUGCUUCCUAUGGGAUAAGCACAAUGAUGCCAUUUCAUUUUAUCCACUCAAUGGCAUACACUGGGAUAGCAUAACAAUAGAACACAUGGGACUCUGAAUUCUGCAGGCUAGGUUUAAUUCUGUUUCUGCUACAUAAUAGCAAAAGAGUUCAUCUUGAUUCUGCUACAUAAUAGCAAAACAGUUCAUCUUGAUUCUGCUACAUAAUAGCAAAACAGUUCAUCUUGCUUUAAGUCAUAAGUCACGGCUCCGAAAAGGACACCCCAAGUAUGGCCUUGACCUGCUGAGGACUUUGAACUAAAGGGCAUUGGAAAGCCUCAGAAGCAGCCUCAGAACCAAGUCUCUGACCUUCUCCUGCCCUCCUGUCUCUCGCCCCUCAUUCCCCCAAGAAGUGAGUCAUAGAAACCAGAAAUCCUCUUCCCUAAAGCAGGUCACGGAAACUAGAAUCUCUUUCCCCAAAGCCAGCCAUUAGAAACUAGAAUCACUACUGGAACUUUCCCUGCCUUUCUGAGUAAGAGCUGGCCAUAAAGAAGUUCUCUGACUUACUUUCCUGAAAGUAGGUUAUAAGACCCUCAUUCCAGAAGGGGCCCUGCCCUACACGCAGGAAGAAGGAACGCCACACAGGGAGGCCAAGAGGAACCCAGACAGGCCCAGCUGGGUCCCCCUCUGUCUGUCACUGUCCCAUCGCUCCCUCUGUGUCCAGUCACAGCUCCGCAGGGCUACCACUCUUCAUCAAAUCUAAGCAUAGAAAUGGGCAGUUUUCCCUUGGUUCUUUGGGUCUUCAUUUCCUAAGGCUCCCAUGUUAUGUAAAACUUUGAUUAAACAAAUCUGUGUGCUUUUCUCUUGUUAACCUGUCUUUUGUUACAGGAGAAUCGGCAGUGGCCCCUUAGCAUGGUGGCACACGUCUGUAAUCCCAGGUACUUGGGAGGCUGAGGCACGAGAAUCACUAGAACCUAGAAGGAGGAUGUUGCAGUGAGCUGAGAUUGCACCACUGCACUCCAGCCUGGGCAACAGAGCAAGACUCCCAUCUCAAAAAAAAAAUUAAAUUAAAUAAAAAUUAAAAAAAAUUAAAAC
rnacentral:lncRNA from 1 species